UGGAAGUUUUAAACGGAGUUUACUUACGAGAAAUAGAAAACUCUCACUUGAGCUUCCUAGAUCGAUAUCCUUGUCGCUUUCUGAUGACCAUUUGAUUAUAAGAAAGGCAAAUGGACAGAUACGAAGCGAACAUGU